rnacentral:rRNA from 21 species
AUGGUUCCUUUGGUCGCUCCUCUCCCGCUCCUUGGAUAACUGUGGUAAUUCUAGAGCUAAUACAUGCCGACGAGCGCCGACCUCCGGGGACGCGUGCAUUUAUCAGACCAAAACCAACCCGGGCCCGCCCGGCAGCUUUGGUGACUCUAGAUAACCUCGAGCCGAUCGCACGCCCCCGCGGCGGCGACGACCCAUUCGAAUGUCUGCCCUAUCAACUUUCGAUGGUACUGUCUGUGCCUACCAUGGUGACCACGGGUGACGGGGAAUCAGGGUUCGAUUCCGGAGAGGGAGCC